UAGCUCACCACUGACCAAACAGUGAAUCAAAACAUCUUCGCCUUCCAAUUAGCCACAAACAAGGUUAGGCUAAAGAAGAAUUUCAGAACAAUUUGACACGACACUCAAAAAGACCUAGAAUUCAUCCACUUGAAAAGUGCUAGUGCGACACAAGAACAAGAGAGAACACUUGUAACACUCAGCAGGGCAUUGAGUUAUUAUGGUCGCAUUAAAACAUCAAUAUGCUAAGUCUUGUUGAUAAAAAAUAGAAAAUUUGAAGUGACUGAAAUAAAAAAGAUACAUAAAAGAGUCAUCUACAAGAGUCCACGAUUCUCGUCCACAUUCCUUGUGGAAAGACAAAAGUGCGGAUGGGAAUAACUUUUAACCAAAACUAAUCUUGUCCGCUUAUUGAACGUCUAAUAAACACGUAUCAAGAUUUGGAGAUUUGCUUGUGGAUUAGGAUUGUCAUCUCAGAAUAUUAAGAUAAUAAUAUUGAAUGAAUAAAUAAUUCACUUAUGGGCUUCUGACAAACAAAAAUGUGCACGUCUCUAAUACUACUUUGGAUACAACGAGUUAUUUUUGCAGAUUCUUGCCAUACAUUUUGUCGGUCCGCCUUGGAAUAAUUUCCUCUUAGUGGAGACACAAAGAAUUAAUUCCUAAGCUGAAAAUAAGAUUCUAUGUUUGGCAAUUUAUUGACUUUGAGGCCACAAGAGUGUCAAAAGAAACAAGAGAAGACCCAAGUUCAUUUCAAUCCUACUUCCUACUGCCACUGUCCAAGAAGUGAUUUUCCCCCAAAUUGCCGUUUCCAUAGGAAAAACCUGAGAGAAGCCAUCUAACAGACUUGUGGGAAAUUUUGCAGCCACCACAUAUACUGGUGGUGCUUACUCUUCGUGGGAGAGCUUGUUGUAAGUUUCUUACCCUCUGGUUCCUAUGAAGGUUGAGGAAUCUGAUAGAAAAUGUUGAAGAAUGUCGAUUGGAACUCAAAAUUGUAGGCUGAAUUGGAUAAGAGAAGUUCUUAUGAUUUCCUUUCUCUUAGAAGGUUUCCUGCAAAUUGCUGCAUUCUUGGAAAUCAAUCAGGAGCUAGUCGAUUCAACAGCUGCCUUCUGUUUUCAUCACUUUCCUGUCUUGGAGCUUAUCUUAUGUUAAUUCUUUUCUUUUUCCUUUAAAAUUAGGUCUCUCUGCAUGAGAUCCCACGUCAGUUGGAGAGAAGAACGAAGCAUUCCUUAUAAGGGUGUGGAAACCUCUCUAGCAGGCGUGUUUUGAAACUUUGAAGGAAAGCCUAGAAGGUAAAGUCUAAAGAGAACAAUAUCGGCUAGUGGUGGGCUUGGGCCGUUAAGCCACUUUGUUUAAAUUGCUAAACAGUGAAAAUUAGAGGUUGAUUUUAGAAUUUGUUGUUUGUCAGAGACUAUUAGCCAUGUACCAAGUUCGUCCAUAGCGGAUGGGUCUAGUAGGGCUGGACUAGUAAGCAAUAAUCAUGCAAGGAUAAUUGUAAUCUGCUACAAAUAUCAGAGAUUUUACCUUGCUUCUACUGAAAUCUAGAUGCAGUAGACAUUCAUUAAACCUUAAUGCAAGAAGUCAUUUAAGAAACCCUUUAUGGUAUUGGUUGCAUUCUUCUAUGAUAAAGUUGACUGACUUAUCAGAACUGAAAUCUAAGUCUUCUGGAUGCAAACUAUCUAUAUCUGAAAGAAGAAAGGAAGAAAGAAAAAGUUUAAUGGAAACAAACCUUUCAUCUACAAAUUUAACAUCAAAAGCCUACAACGGUUGUUUUGAAACAAACUUAAAUGAAACUUUUUGAAGUUAGAAAUUUUAAUUAAAACCAAACUCAUAAUUUAAGGGUUUUUUUGAUAACCUAUAAAAUAUUGUUUCAAACAAUAUGUUACUUAUCCAAAGAACUCCACCAACGAGAAAACAAAAGGUU